rnacentral:rRNA from 1 species
GGGCGAGAGCCUGAACCAGCCAUCCCGCGUGCAGGAAGAAUGCCCUAUGGGUUGUAAACUGCUUUUUCGCAUGAAGAACAUCCCGAACGAGUUCGGGACUGACGGUAGUGCGNGAAUAAGCACCGGCUAACUCCGUGCCAGCAGCCGCGGUAAUACGGAGGGUGCAAGCGUUAUCCGGAUUUAUUGGGUUUAAAGGGUGCGUAGGCGGCGAUUUAAGUCAGUGGNGAAAUNCNGCAGCUCAACUGUAGAACUGCCAUUGAAACUGAAUUGCUUGAGUGAUCUUGAAGUAGGCGGAAUGUGUAGUGUAGCGGNGAAAUGCUUAGAUAUUACACAGAACACCGAUUGNGAAGGCAGCUUACUAAGGGUUUACUGACGCUGAGGCANGAAAGCGNGGGGAUCAAACAGGAUUAGAUCCCCUGGUAGUCCACNCCGUAAACGAUGAUAACUCGCUGUNGGCGAUACNCACUCNGCGCCC